AUUCCGUGAAGAGAGAACUUCUGUAAUAAUUCUUUGUUUCUUUCCCAUGCCUCAUACAAGGACUCAUCAUCCAUUUGUUGGAAAGCAGUGAUCUCAUUCCUCAACAU
rfam:Gossypium hirsutum cultivar TM-1 chromosome 12, whole genome shotgun sequence